GAGAGGAUGCGAGGGAUUGGGUGAGAAUGACAAAGAUGUGAAUUCAUCAGUGAACAUGGAAAAAACAGUAGUUGAAACAUUAAUUCUCAAUUUCUGUAACAGCAGAUUGAUAGAUGAAGCAUAAAACAAGACCAGAUGCUGUGGUUUCCAGGAUGCACUUGGCUUCCCAUGCUUUAUAACCUGGAGCAUUUAUUGCUGGCAUCCUGAGUCUCCAUCAACCAAGGUGGUACAAAAACAGCACUCUACUUGGUUUGUG
rnacentral:lncRNA from 1 species